CGAAAGCCUGACGGAGCAAGACCGCGUGAGGGAGGAAGGCUCUAGGGUUGUAAACCUCUUUUAUCAGGGAAUAAGCAAUGAAGGUACCUGAGGAAUCAGCAUCGGCUAAUUCCGUGCCAGCAGCCGCGGUAAUACGGGAGUGGCAAGCGUUAUCCGGAAUUAUUGGGCGUAAAGCGUCCGCAGGCGGCCUUGUAAGUCUGUCGUUAAAGCGUGGAGCUUAACUCCAUUUGAGCGAUGGAAACUACAAGGCUUGAAUGUGGUAGGGGCAGAGGGAAUUCCCGGAGUAGCGGUGAAAUGCGUAGAUAUCGGGAAGAACACCAGUGGCGAAGGCGCUCUGCUGGGCCAUAACUGACGCUCAUGGACGAAAGCCAGGGGAGCG
rnacentral:rRNA from 1 species